rnacentral:tRNA from 1 species
GCGCCCGUAGCUCAGCUGGAUAGAGCACCGGUUUCCUAAACCGGGGGUCACGUGUUCGAAUCACGUCGGGCGCG